CCACCUAUGGUGAAAACAAUCCUGCUUACUAAGAAAAAAAAAAAAGGCAAGAUUACCUUCCUGGGUCUUAUAAUUGACGGAUGGUGAUCGACUCCAUUAUCUCUGAUCUACAACAGCAAAAUACUUUGCGACCCUCCAGGAAAGGAUACAACAAUAUAAUUAAUGCACUAUUUGAGAAGUUUCCACAUAUUGGAGAUCCCUCUCUAAGGUCAAAGAUGAAACAAGUUCGAUUGCCUCUGAGUUCUCCAGAGGUGACGGCCUUAAAAGAAAAAUAUGGUCGACUGAAACAGCAAAAUAAAAAAAAGGAAAAAAAAAGAAAAAAAGAAAGCAGAGAAUUGUGGUGAGAAAGUUGGAAUGCUUCGGAAGAAGCAAAGGCCACACAAUGUAAGUGUCCAGUACACUUUGUGUACAGUAGUGUUUAAAAAAAAAAAUACAUUUUAGUUGUUUAAGUUCCAUUG